rnacentral:rRNA from 1 species
CCUAAUGGGAUACUUAGUACGGCGAGUGAGCGGUAAAAGCUCAAAUUUGAAAUCUGGUACUUUCAGUGCCCGAGUUGUAAUUUGUAGAAUUUGUCUUUGAUUAGGUCCUUGUCUAUGUUCCUUGGAACAGGACGUCAUAGAGGGUGAGAAUCCCGUUUGGCGAGGAUACCUUUUCUCUGUAAGACUUUUUCGAAGAGUCGAGUUGUUUGGGAAUGCAGCUCAAAGUGGGUGGUAAAUUCCAUCUAAAGCUAAAUAUUGGCGAGAGACCGAUAGCGAACAAGUACAGUGAUGGAAAGAUGAAAAGAACUUUGAAAAGAGAGUGAAAAAGUACGUGAAAUUGUUGAAAGGGAAGGGCAUUUGAUCAGACAUGGUGUUUUUUGCAUGCACUCGCCUCUCGUGGGCUUGGGCCUCUCAAAAAUUUCACUGGGCCAACAUCAAUUCUGGCAGCAGGAUAAAUCAUUAAGAAUGUAGCUACUUCGGUAGUGUUAUAGCUUUUUGGAAUACUGUUAGCCGGGAUUGAGGACUGCGCUUCGGCAAGGAUGUUGGCAUAAUGGUUAAAUGCCGCCCGUCUUGAACCCACGGGACCA